GUAGUUUGACGUCCGUGGCACAGGACGACGCUGGCGGCGUGCUUAACACAUGCAAGUCGAACGCUGAAGCCGUCUUCGGGCGGUGGAUGAGUGGCGAACGGGUGAGUAACACGUGGGUAAUCUGCCCUGUACUCUGGGAUAAGCCUGGGAAACUGGGUCUAAUACCGGAUAGGACACGCUAACCGCAUGGUGGUGUGUGGAAAGCCUCGGCGGUACAGGAUGAGCCCGCGGCCUAUCAGCUAGUUGGUGGGGUGAUGGCCUACCAAGGCGACGACGGGUAGCCGGCCUGAGAGGGUGACCGGCCACACUGGGACUGAGACACGGCCCAGACUCCUACGGGAGGCAGCAGUGGGGAAUAUUGCACAAUGGGCGGAAGCCUGAUGCAGCGACGCCGCGUGGGGGAUGACGGCCUUCGGGUUGUAAACCCCUUUCGCCCGGGACGAAGCGAGAGUGACGGUACCGGGAGAAGAAGCACCGGCCAACUACGUG
rnacentral:rRNA from 1 species